GAUGAACGCUGGCGGCGUGCUUAACACAUGCAAGUCGAACGAAGCACUUUAUUUGAUUUCCUUCGGGACUGAUUAUUUUGUGACUGAGUGGCGGACGGGUGAGUAACGCGUGGGUAACCUGCCUUGUACAGGGGGAUAACAGUUGGAAACGGCUGCUAAUACCGCAUAAGCGCACGGCAUCGCAUGAUGCAGUGUGAAAAACUCCGGUGGUAUAAGAUGGACCCGCGUUGGAUUAGCUAGUGGGUGAGGUAACGGCCCACCAAGGCGACGAUCCAUAGCCGACCUGAGAGGGUGACCGGCCACAUUGGGACUGAGACACGGCCCAAACUCCUACGGGAGGCAGCAGUGGGGAAUAUUGCACAAUGGGCGAAAGCCUGAUGCAGCGACGCCGCGUGAGCGAAGAAGUAUUUCGGUAUGUAAAGCUCUAUCAGCAGGGAAGAUAAUGACGGUACCUGACGAAGAAGCACCGGCUAAAUACGUG
rnacentral:rRNA from 1 species